AGAGUUUGAUCCUGGCUCAGGACGAACGCUGGCGGCGUGCCUAAUACAUGCAAGUCGAACGAACGGAGGAAGAGCUUGCUCUUCCAAAGUUAGUGGCGGACGGGUGAGUAACACGUGGGCAACCUGCCUGUAAGUUGGGGAUAACUCCGGGAAACCGGGGCUAAUACCGAAUGAUAAAGUGUGGCGCAUGCCACGCUUUUGAAAGAUGGUUUCGGCUAUCGCUUACAGAUGGGCCCGCGGUGCAUUAGCUAGUUGGUAGGGUAAUGGCCUACCAAGGCAACGAUGCAUAGCCGACCUGAGAGGGUGAUCGGCCACACUGGGACUGAGACACGGCCCAGACUCCUACGGGAGGCAGCAGUAGGGAAUCUUCCGCAAUGGACGAAAGUCUGACGGAGCAACGCCGCGUGUAUGAAGAAGGUUUUCGGAUCGUAAAGUACUGUUGUUAGAGAAGAACAAGGAUAAGAGUAACUGCUUGUCCCUGACGGUAUCUACCAGAGUACGCAUGCC
rnacentral:rRNA from 1 species